rnacentral:lncRNA from 1 species
CUUCCCUCUUUCUCCAGCAGAAACAAGCACCUCUAGGCAUGUGACAGAAGCACAACAGGGGUCUGUAAUGUUUUGCUGUGGGGAUUUCCACCUUUGGUUUUUCACCGAUCCUUUAAGGAAAAUGGCUUGCGAGUGAGGAGUGACUACAGCUUGAUAAGUGGCAAAGCAUUAUUUCGCUGA